rnacentral:lncRNA from 1 species
AUUUCCCGGAUUUGACAACACAUACUUCAGUACAUAGCGCACCAUUAAAUUGCUGCACAAUGACUAAAAAUGCAUAAAAACUGCCAAAGAUGCAUAGUGCACCAUUGAGGUAUUAACCAUUCAUACUUUCUAGAUACAUUACAGUGCAUCUACAUACCAAAGGUAUGUGUACAGCAAGAAUCUGAAAAAAAAUCUGAAUCCCUCUCACGCUUUUGUACUUGGUCUUCUCACAUUUAUCUCAUUUUCCACAUUACUUCUUCCUCUUCUACUAGUACCUCUCACUACCUUCUUUGAUUCUGCACCCAGCAAGCCCAAGAUGUCCAUAAAUAAAAAACAGACAAACACUGCACAAAAAGAUGUUGUUAAUAGGGUUGCAAGAAUGCUAAAAAAAUACAAUAUAAACAAUGAUGCUAGAAUAGUAAUUGUGUAACACCAUUCGACAACUACAAUUCGUGAAGGAAAUAUGUCAAAACAUCCACCAAAGAGGUGCAUGGAUAUUAGUUUCCCAUGGAUUUUAUAAAAACUAUAUGUAGGUAGCCAGCUUUUCUCCUCUAUUUUUUUGCAUACUCAAAGAAUAUGAAGUCUGAAAGGUUCUAAUUAUAAAACACACUCUAAAGCAAACCUAUUUUCCUAUUCCACAUCAAAAUAUAAAUUGUUUGAGGAUAAUCCAACUUGGAAAGGUAGUCAUCUUUUCCAAGGGACCUUCUCUAAGCAAUAAGAAGAAAGUUCAUGCCACAAAAGGGACCUUCUCUAAGCAGUAAGUAGAAAGUUCAGGUCACAAAGUCUACUCUUUGACAUAUAGACAAUAAAAUAAAACAAUGAUCACUUGAACUAAUUGGAGAAUAACAUGCGAGCUUAUAGCAUUUGAUCACUUGAACUUAUAGCAAUAGGAAUAAGAAAUAUGUACAGCCUCCGACCUAUGGAGAUUAGAAGAAAUUUGUAAAUGCUAGUACGGCAACCAACAUUUAUAAAUACUAGUGAACUUGAACUUAUGGUCUCUCGAGAUUUGAACUGAUUGUGUUACAAGCACACGCACAAAAAUCCAACGAAGCUGAUAUCAAUACAUGUUAAAAAGAUAAUCAAGUUCAUGUAUAUUAAUUUUGAGAAGUUCAGAAAGAAACUUUUUUAAAAGUUUGUACUGAAAAGAUGUGCAAACAUAUGCAAACAUAUUUAGUGCUUUUUUAGGAAGGAACUCAAUUCAACAAAACAUAUGCAAACAUCUCGGCUUCGAACUUCUGUAUUUUUUAUUUGAGCUUUCUUCUCUUGAGAUUUGAACUGAUUUGUGUUACAAGCACACGAACAACUCCGAAUGAGAUGAUGUUAGUACAUGUAAAAAAGAUGACCAAGUGCAUGUAUAUUAACCGGAGAAGUUCAAAAAGGAGCUUCAUCUUCACCAUACUGACUAGACCAAUACUGAAAAAUUGAAGUACGAGAGGGAUACCAGCUUAAGUUCAAACUACACAAACAUAAGCUGGAAGCUCUAUGCAAAGUAAACUAGCAUCUAUUUUUGAAAGCAUCUAAAUGGAUGGUUAUAGGUUUAGACAGAAGUUAAGUUUCAGCAAUGCCCUUGCGGCAAAGCAAACUAAAAUGUAUGAUUUUGCCUCAGGACUCUGCACAUUUAAAGCAUAAUGCACUAAAAAGAACACACAAGUUGAACUGAAAAUCAAAAUAAAAUUUGGGGUAGCAUGCCUGUGAGGAAGGAGGUCGAGGGCAGCAGGGUGCACAGUGGGCGAAGGACGCACAAGGAAGAUGAGUUACCUCGUCGCUAGGCCGCGAGGCGACCUCCAUCAUGGAGGUCCUUGGGUUGGAGCGCAUCAGCAACGAGUGGUGGGGCUGUGACAGGGGACAUGUUGCAGCGUGCACGCAUGGCGACGUCAUCCUUGUCGUCAUGGAGAAGUAGGACUGCUGGAGACAUUGCAAAGCAGCACAACAAUAUUACAUAUUUUCUAAAGUUGAGUAAAACAUGUUUGAGAUUAUCAACAAUACACAUAUUGUAUCUUUUAGCUAUCAGUUCAAGAGUCGAAAACUUUUCGAACUGAUGUUUUUCUGUCAUCGAACUGAUGUACUUUUUUGUAUUUUUAAUUGUUGUAAAAUAUGUAGUUGAACUUAUAGAUUUCCAUUUUAUAAUUUUGCUCUUAUAAAGAUCCUAUGUGUUUGUUUACGUACUGAAAAUGGAAUACAUACUGACCUUGACAAUACGGAAACAACAAUACUUCAUACUCAUUCUCUCUUUGUUGCCAUAUGGUUAGAGCUUACAGCCACAUUAGCAAAAUCUUUUAUUGUAUUUUGUAAUAAUAUGACAUAUAGUAUAAAACCAAACUGGGAACACAUACAAUAGAACUUUUUCUGUACUUAUUUUUUGAACUGAUGACAUAUAUACAUGGUGAACUAUAGAGCAUCAGUUUUUGCAGUAAACACAACUCAUAUUUUCAGAAUCAGGAGAUGGGUCGAACUGAUUGUUCUAGGUACGGUGAACUGAUUUUUGCAGAUAAAAAUCUAGUUUCUAGGUACGGCGGACUGCUGCUCGCGACUAACUCGACCAUCUCGAUGCCAUGGGGUUGAACUGAGGACGGCUAUGGGAGUAGGGAGCAUCGAGCGCGGAGGGUGGUGGCGCAUACCUAGGUGAAGCAGGAAGGAGACGCACAUGCGAACAAAGGCUGGCUGCUUUGGCCCCCGCGGUUGGAGGCCGUCUUUAGCCAUGGCAAGCACCAGGGUGCGCCUUCCUCAGUCGCGGAGCAACUUGCACCUCCACACUUUCCCACAAAUUGUCCAGAACACAACUUUCAGCAACACGAUAAGUAGUAGUAGUAGUAGCAUUAAUGUAGGUGGCAAGGUAGCAGUGGCAAAAAGUAGGCAAUUAUUCUUAAUUUGCUCCACCACAGCUUUAGUUCACAUUUCCUAAGUUGGAAAAGAAAGACAAAACGGAUAGAAAAUCCCCUAGUUGGGGUAGUGAACCUUUUUACUGAACAACUACAAUUCUACCAUAUAGUGAACUGUUGUAUAACUAGAAAACAGUCUGAUUUUUUUGCACAAACACCAUACUAUUUUAUAUGUUUUCCAAGAACUUGAGAUAGCUCACGUACUGAACUGAGAACACCUAGUUUGUGUUUCAGGAAAUAAAAUAGACAUCCUCUGCUUUUUGUGAUAAAACUAGUGUGGACUUGGGAGGAGCGGCAGUGUGGGCGAACAAUUAACCUCUCUUUUUAUCUUGCUCCUGAAUGCAUGCAGCUGGGAUCCCGAGGCGACAGAGGUGGUCGUCGCGUGGCGGGGAGGAGCAGGAAGGUGUGUAGGUGGUUGUUGCCGAUGCUCCUCCUUCCCACUGGUGGCCGCCCCUGUGGAGGCAGAUCCAUGGUCCGUCGCGGAGGUGGGAGGUCAGGGCGCGGUGCGUCGCCGGACGUUAGAUGAAAUUCGAACUAGAUUAGAUGAAAUUCUACACACACAAAAUGCACUGCGGGAACUAGAUUAGAAGAAUUCUUUUUUCACAUUUGAACCACUGAGAUUUUGCAUAGUGUACUUAUAUAGUUUCAUCUUUAUAGCAAGCUAUAGUAGAAAUGAAAAUAAGUUGGAGGGAGCAUGCUAGAUUAGAAGAAAUUCUUUUUUCACAUUUGACACCUGAACUUCGACUUGUUAUUCCCAACAAACUCCCCUUGAAUGUUUUGUUUUUUUUUAACUUCCCAAAUUUACGUUUUCGAACUGAUUGAAUAGUAGUAUAUGAGCUCACCAACACGAUGAAAUUUCUACUGAACACUAAGGUGCAUAAUAUACACACAAGGUACCUGAACAAUUUACUUAGCCUGGUC